rnacentral:tRNA from 1 species
GGUGCGAUAGCUCAGUCGGUAGAGCACUGGUCUCGUGAUCCGGUGACCCGGGUUCGAAACCAAGUCGAUGCG